GGGUCCGUAGCCUAACCUGGAUAUGGCACUUCCCUCCUAAGGAAGAGGUUGAGGGUUCAAAUCCCUCCGGGCCCG
rnacentral:tRNA from 1 species